rnacentral:rRNA from 1 species
GACAGAGGGGGCAAGCGUUGCUCGGAAUUACUGGGCGUAAAGGGCGCGUAGGCGGAAUGGCAGGUCGGUCGUGAAAUCCUUCGGCUCAACCGAAGAACGUCGAUCGAAACUGCCGUUCUUGAGGAUUGCAGAGGAGACUGGAAUUCCCGGUGUAGCGGUGAAAUGUGUAGAGAUCCGGAGGAACACCAGAGGCGAAGGCGGCCGGCUGGCCGAGGGCUGACGCUGAGGCGCGAUGGCGUGGGGAGCAAACCGG